rnacentral:misc_RNA from 1 species
GAUGAAGAAUGCAGCGAAAUGCGAUAAGUAAUGUGAAUUGCAGAAUUCAGUGAAUCAUCGAAUCUUUGAACGCACAUUGCGCCCGCGAGUAUUCUCGCGGGCAUGCCUGUCCGAGCGUCAUUUCAACCCUCAGGGCCCGCCUGCUUGCAGGCGCGGCGCUGGUGUUGGGGAUCGGCUACCCUGCCGUCCCCCAAAUACAGUGGCGGUCUCGCUGCAGCCUCCCCUGCGUAGUAGCAACACUCGCAUGCGGAGCGCGGCGCGGCCACGCCGUAAAACCCCCGACUUUCUGAACGUUGACCUCGGAUCAGGUAGGAAUACCCGCUGAACUUAAGCAUAUCAAUAAGCGGAGGA